rnacentral:rRNA from 1 species
UACGUAGGGGGCGAGCGUUGUCCGGAUUCAUUGGGCGUAAAGCGCGCGCAGGCGGUUGGCAGAGCCCGGCGUGAAAGCCCCCAGCUCAACUGGGGGAGGCCGUCGGAGACCUGUCGACUUGAGGCCGGUAGGGGAGAGCGGAAUUCCCGGUGUAGUGGUGGAAUGCGUAGAGAUCGGGAGGAACACCAGUGGCGAAAGCGGCUCUCUGGUCCAAAACUGACGCUGAGGGGCGAAAGCGUGGGGAGCGAACGGG